rnacentral:rRNA from 1 species
AUUGAACGCUGGCGGCAUGCCUUACACAUGCAAGUCGAACGGCAGCAUGGAGAGCUUGCUCUCUGAUGGCGAGUGGCGAACGGGUGAGUAAUGCAUCGGAACGUACCGUGUAAUGGGGGAUAACGUAGCGAAAGUUACGCUAAUACCGCAUACGACCCGAGGGUGAAAGCAGGGGAUCGCAAGACCUUGCGUUAUACGAGCGGCCGAUGUCAGAUUAGCUAGUUGGUGAGGUAAAGGCUCACCAAGGCGACGAUCUGUAGCGGGUCUGAGAGGAUGAUCCGCCACACUGGGACUGAGACACGGCCCAGACUCCGACGGGAGGCAGCAGUGGGGAAUUUUGGACAAUGGGGGCAACCCUGAUCCAGCCAUGCCGCGUGAGUGAAGAAGGCCUUCGGGUUGUAAAGCUCUUUCGGCCGGGAAGAAAUCGCACAGGCUAAUACUCUGUGUGGAUGACGGUACCGGCAUAAGAAGCACCGGCUAACUACGUGCCAGCCGCCGCGGUAA